rnacentral:rRNA from 1 species
UACGGAGGGGGCUAGCGUUGUUCGGAAUUACGGGGCGUAAAGCGCACGUAGGCGGCUUUGUAAGUUAGAGGUGAAAGCCCGGAGCUCAACUCCGGAAUUGCCUUUAAGACUGCAUCGCUCGAAUCAUGGAGAGGUGAGUGGAAUUCCGAGUGUAGAGGUGAAAUGCGUAGAUAUCGGGAGGAACACCAGUGGCGAAGGCGAUCUUCUGGACGGAUACUGACGCUGAGGCGCGAAAGCUAGGGGAGCAAACGGG